AAGGAAUUAGUUUAUUAUAUUAAAACAUUAACUUGUCAAGUUAAAAAUAUCUAAUUUUAAAGAUAUACCUUA
rnacentral:tRNA from 1 species